rnacentral:rRNA from 1 species
UAAAAAAAGGUAAGCUACUAAGAGCGAAUGGUGGAUGCCUUGACUGGUAAAGGCGAUGAAGGACGUACUAGACUGCGAUAAGCUACGGGGAGCUGUCAAGAAGCUUUGAUCCGUAGAUUUCCGAAUGGGGCAACCCAAUGUAUAGAGAUAUACAUUACCUAUAUAGGAGCGAACGAGGGGAAUUGAAACAUCUUAGUACCCUCAGGAAAAGAAAUCAAUAGAGAUUGCGUCAGUAGCGGCGAGCGAAAGCGCAAGAGGGCAAACCCAGUGCUUGCACUGGGGGUUGUAGGACUGCAAUGUGCAAGAGCUGAGUUUAGCAGAACAUUCUGGAAAGUAUAGCCAUAGAGGGUGAUAGUCCCGUAUGCGAAAAACAAAGCUUAGCUAGCAGUAUCCUGAGUAGGGCGGGACACGAGGAAUCCUGUCUGAAUCCGGGUCGACCACGAUCCAACCCUAAAUACUAAUACCAGAUCGAUAGUGCACAAGUACCGUGAGGGAAAGGUGAAAAGAACUGAGGUGAUCAGAGUGAAAUAGAACCUGAAACCAUUUGCUUACAAUCAUUCAGAGCACUAUGUAGCAAUACAGUGUGAUGGACUGCCUUUUGCAUAAUGAGCCUGCGAGUUGUGGUGUCUGGCAAGGUUAAGCAAACGCGAAGCCGUAGCGAAAGCGAGUCUGAAUAGGGCGCUUAGUCAGAUGCUGCAGACCCGAAACGAAGUGAUCUAUCCAUGAGCAAGUUGAAGCUAGUGUAAGAACUAGUGGAGGACUGAACCCAUAGGCGUUGAAAAGCCCCGGGAUGACUUGUGGAUAGGGGUGAAAGGCCAAUCAAACUUCGUGAUAGCUGGUUCUCUCCGAAAUAUAUUUAGGUAUAGCGUUGUGUCGUAAUAUAAGGGGGUAGAGCACUGAAUGGGCUAGGGCAUACACCAAUGUACCAAACCCUAUCAAACUCCGAAUACCUUAUAUGUAAUCACAGCAGUCAGGCGGCGAGUGAUAAAAUCCGUCGUCAAGAGGGAAACAACCCAGACUACCAGCUAAGGUCCCUAAAUCUUACUUAAGUGGAAAACGAUGUGAAGUUACUUAAACAACCAGGAGGUUGGCUUAGAAGCAGCCAUCCUUUAAAGAAAGCGUAAUAGCUCACUGGUCUAGUGAUUUUGCGCGGAAAAUAUAACGGGGCUAAAGUAAGUACCGAAGCUGUAGACUUGCACACAACUUAGAUUAUUUAAGUUUAGAAUAUGAGAAACUAAGUUAUAUGUUUAGUUAUAUUUUUACUGAUUUUUAUAGAGUAAAGAUAGAAAUAAAACUUAGUAAAAUCAGUAAAAAUAUUCUUAGGCUAAAGUUAAGUAGUUUAAGUUGUGUGCAAGUGGUAGGAGAGCGUUCUAUUUGCGUCGAAGGUAUACCGGUAAGGAGUGCUGGAGCGAAUAGAAGUGAGCAUGCAGGCAUGAGUAGCGAUAAUUAAUGUGAGAAUCAUUAACGCCGUAAACCCAAGGUUUCCUACGCGAUGCUCGUCAUCGUAGGGUUAGUCGGGUCCUAAGUCGAGUCCGAAAGGGGUAGACGAUGGCAAAUUGGUUAAUAUUCCAAUACCAACAUUAGUGUGCGAUGGAAGGACGCUUAGGGCUAAGGGGGCUAGCGGAUGGAAGUGCUAGUCUAAGGUUGUAGGAGGUUAUACAGGCAAAUCCGUAUAACAAUACUCCGAGAACUGAAAGGCUUUUUGAAGUCUUCGGAUGGAUAGAAGAACCCCUGAUGCCGUCGAGCCAAGAAAAGUUUCUAAGUUUAGCUAAUGUUGCCCGUACCGUAAACCGACACAGGUGGGUGGGAUGAGUAUUCUAAGGCGCGUGGAAGAACUCUCUUUAAGGAACUCUGCAAAAUAGCACCGUAUCUUCGGUAUAAGGUGUGGUUAGCUUCGUACUAGGAUUUACUCCGAAAGCGAAGAAACUUACAACAAAGAGUCCCUCCCGACUGUUUACCAAAAACACAGCACUCUGCUAACUCGUAAGAGGAUGUAUAGGGUGUGACGCCUGCCCGGUGCUCGAAGGUUAAUUGAUGGGGUUAGCAUUAGCGAAGCUCUUGAUCGAAGCCCGAGUAAACGGCGGCCGUAACUAUAACGGUCCUAAGGUAGCGAAAUUCCUUGUCGGUUAAAUACCGACCUGCAUGAAUGGCGUAACGAGAUGGGAGCUGUCUCAAAGAGGGAUCCAGUGAAAUUGUAGUGGAGGUGAAAAUUCCUCCUACCCGCGGCAAGACGGAGAGACCCCGUGGACCUUUACUACAGCUUGACACUGCUACUUGGAUAAGAAUGUGCAGGAUAGGUGGGAGGCUUUGAGUAUAUGACGCCAGUUGUAUAUGAGCCAUUGUUGAGAUACCACUCUUUCUUAUUUGGGUAGCUAACCAGCUUGAGUUAUCCUCAAGUGGGACAAUGUCUGGUGGGUAGUUUGACUGGGGCGGUCGCCUCCCAAAUAAUAACGGAGGCUUACAAAGGUUGGCUCAGAACGGUUGGAAAUCGUUCGUAGAGUAUAAAGGUAUAAGCCAGCUUAACUGCAAGACAUACAAGUCAAGCAGAGACGAAAGUCGGUCUUAGUGAUCCGGUGGUUCUGUGUGGAAGGGCCAUCGCUCAAAGGAUAAAAGGUACCCCGGGGAUAACAGGCUGAUCUCCCCCAAGAGCUCACAUCGACGGGGAGGUUUGGCACCUCGAUGUCGGCUCAUCGCAUCCUGGGGCUGGAGCAGGUCCCAAGGGUAUGGCUGUUCGCCAUUUAAAGCGGUACGCGAGCUGGGUUCAGAACGUCGUGAGACAGUUCGGUCCCUAUCUGCCGUGGGCGUAAGAAGAUUGAAGAGAUUUGACCCUAGUACGAGAGGACCGGGUUGAACAAACCACUGGUGUAGCUGUUGUUCUGCCAAGAGCAUCGCAGCGUAGCUAAGUUUGGAAAGGAUAAACGCUGAAAGCAUCUAAGCGUGAAGCCAACUCUAAGAUGAAUCUUCUCUAAGCUCUCUAGAAGACUACUAGUUUGAUAGGCUGGGUGUGUAAUGGAUGAAAGUCCUUUAGCUGACCAGUACUAAUAGAGCGUUUGGCUUAUCUUUAAUAAAGCAU